ensembl:lncRNA novel transcript
GAAACCGUUUUUCUGACUGAUAUUUAAGUCUGUGAGGAAAGGCUUUGCUGUGUUUCCUCUGCAGAGAAAGUGCCCAGGUAACAGAGAUGACUCAAAAUCAUGUACAUUAGCAGUCAGAUCAGACAAACCAAAGCCUCACGGUGUGCCCACGUCGGAACUCCUUCUCCUAGCAUUUUUCUGGGUCAGCCUGGAUUGAGACACACUGGCCUUUAGAACUUGAAUAAAAUGCCGUUUCACUCAUUGCCAUCUUCGAUAGUUGGUAGAAGGUGAUUGCAGUUCCAAGUGGUGUCACCAUUUUAGUGAGUGCAUUGUGAAGGGAUAAGUAAGCAGAGAUGCAAAACCUCUUCCACUUCUUUUCCAUGAAGCACAGCUUUCAGAAGAAUUGAACUAUAGUAAAUGGCAGAGAGUCUAGCACAAUUAAGUAUUUCUAAACCAGGACUGAAAAUGAAGAAAUGAUCACCAUAGAGGAAACAAAAUCAGAGAGGAUAGGAAACCUGUCCAAAGUCAUAUGGCUGAUAAGAGGCAGAGUGAAGACUGGACCUGAGCAAGUUUGGUGUAGAAGCCUGUGCUCUUAACUGCCAUCCUAGAUUCUUUCUUAAGACUUCUUCUGAGGAACUGAAGACACAUUUUGUAGAAGUUGAUGGAUUAAGAAAAAGAAGUUGCAUUUUAUUACCUAUCCUAAAGAUAGAAGGUGAUCUGAACAUUCUAAUAUCACUUGCCAAGACUGUUGGAGCAUGGGGAAGAGAGGUUCCUCGCAUGACUGACAGCUUAGAAGCCAGAGGUCAAGGGAGCCUAUCGAUCAAUGCACUCCACGCAAAUAUGUCCCAGGAGCAGGAUAGAACAAGGUGUAAAAGGGUGGGACUCUAUCUAGAGGGGCAAAAUGAAGAUAUCGAACACAUUGACAUGAAUAAAAUAUGUACAAUGUCA